CACUUACACACGUAUGUACAUACAUACAUACAUACACACACAUCCAGGCGUGCCUAUACACAGCUUCGUACAUGUGUACGCACAUAUAGAGGCUGCAUACAUGUGUACGUACAGAUGGACGUAGUGCAACCGCACGUGUGUACAUUUUACAUAUGUAUACCUUGCACACGACGUAUGUACACUGCGUAACGCCUAUACGACAGCAGGCCGCGCCUAACGAACCGAAAUGAUACCCACCAGUCGUCGCGUGUGUACACAUAUACGCAUAGAUGCGCGACGGAGAAGUUCGUGUGACCGUUACACAGUUAUACACAAACACGUGUCUCCGCGGAGAGCGAGAAGAGAGCAGCAGUCUCGCUUAAUGCUCGGGCAUUAACGCUAAUUGAUGGAUUGUUUUUAAUAUUUACGCUUCGUUUCUCUUUCUACUCUUUUCCAUCUUCUCUCAUAGAGAUGCCUGCUUCUUCCUUUUGCUUGUUCUUUUCCUUCCUAUAACGCUAUCUCUGUCUUUCUUGCGUUACAUAUAGGGCAAACACUGCACGGUCCUAUUCCCUGUAUCUUUUUCUUGGCGUCCACAGUUGACCACGUUUUGUACGAGCACAUAGAUAUUUCAGUAUGUCAUUCGUGUAUAUGUACGCUUGCACGCCAUUGUAUACGUGCAAGCAUGUACAUACUUACUCGUAGUAGGUAUAUACGCGUCUAUCGUACGGAGCAGCACGAAGACACGUCGGCGACCAAGAGAGCUUGACGACGACGAGACGACGAUGGCAGCGGCGACGAAGACAACGGAAAAGACGACGAAGACGACUACGACGACGUCGGAACAACACGAUCAUACGCGUAUAUAGCGGGAGAAGAUCGGACGAGAGCGAGAAAGAGAGGGAAAAAAAAGGAGAGAAGAGAAGCCUGUGAGAUAGCCGUGCAGCCGACACAUACGGUAGUCGCAGAUCGGCGAGGCAGACAAGGGACUCGAGCAAGCAAAAUGGAGGGCAGGCGAGCGUGGAAUAUAAAAGGAGGAACGUGAAUUCAUAUCUCGUCCGGGGGAUCUCGCUGCUUUGCUGCUGAGAGACUGUUUUCGCGGGACAGAGAGAAAGCGACCAAACGAUGAACAGAGAUACGUUGAUGGAGAAGGGUGAGUAGGGUGAAAGAGAAAGAAGGAUUGAAGAGCCGAGAGGCAAGGAAAGACUGCGAGAAGGAGAAUGAGAGACUCGAGAACAGCCGGCCGUGGUUGCUAUCGUAUCUGUCACGAGUGCAACGAUGACGUUUGAAUAUCCCGCCGAUAGAGAAACAGAGAAGGAACGUGGUUAUCGUAUAAGCGGGACGAAAACGACGAUCUGUUCGUAACGAGUGGAACGAGGAUAGAGGAUACAGUCCGCGUGGAGUAGCCGUCGAAACGCCGGGAGAAUCGACCAAUGAGCGCGCGGCUCCGACCAAUCGGGUGGCGAGUUACGAAUCCGCGCUUGACUACUACGUAGUCUCAUCUCUCACCCGGGCCAGUCGUUCCCGAACCACGUAAGGAGGUAGUCUCUUUUGUCUCGUGGAGCUGUGAAUACACGAUGCGUAUACACAAUGGUCCCUGCUAAGGAUACCGCCGUGUACUCUGCCGUGUAGGCAGGAUCACUGUGAGGAAAGUAAAAGAUAAAACAAUAUCCAUCCGGAUAGCAGACCUGAUCUGAUCAGAUAUCGUAAUUAUCUGAAACGCAAAUUGCUAAGAAAUUCUUAAUCUGUAGAUUCGUGGCUAUCGUCUGAACGAGAGUAAUAAAAAAAUGUUAAGAGAUAGAAAAAUAGCAGCAAGAUUUCCAAAAAAUUUUUUUGUAGCAAAAGGAAAUUUGCAGUCGAUCAGAAUGUUGGUUAUAACAAAAAAAAAUUAAAUUACCUAAAAUACACAAAAUUGUAUAGUUUACGAGUCAUAUAACCUUCUCAUUGCUCAUCCUAAUUAAUACUAAUCCAUUCAAGUAAGAACUAAUUCGAUCCGAUUAAUUUAUUAAUCGAUUGAUUAAUUCAAUUCUUAACAAACUACAACACGUACUUCAUCUAGUAUUUUACAUUAUAAGACACGAACGGCAUAAAAUGCGCUAUAAACACGAAAUAAUAAAUUACAUCUGCACGACAAAUCCCAAAAUUUCUAUUCCCCCAAGCAAACAAAAAAAA